AAACCAUUUAUGCUGUUGCGUUGUAAAUAAUAUUGAAUAAAACUCUGUUCUUAUGAGCUCAAUAUCUGACACGGGUCCUAUUGGUCCCAAGAUAUUAAACUUAUUUUGGAUUAGGGUGGAGUGCUUGAAGCUUGCUUCACCUCCGCUACGGGUUAGCCAGUUUGCACUAUCUCCGGAAUCGGCCUGUUCACC